rnacentral:rRNA from 1 species
UACGUAGGGUGCGAGCGUUGUCCGGAAUUAUCGGGCGUAAAGAGCUCGUAGGCGGUGUGUCGCGUCGGCCGUGAAAACCUGGGGCUCAACUCUGGGCGUGCGGUCGAUACGGGCAUCACUUGAGUUCGGCAGGGGAGACUGGAAUUCCUGGUGUAGCGGUGAAAUGCGCAGAUAUCAGGAGGAACACCGGUGGCGAAGGCGGGUCUCUGGGCCGAUACUGACGCUGAGGAGCGAAAGCAUGGGUAGCGAACAGG